GAGGAGCACAAUGCCACCAAUUUCAAGCAAAACCCUAUAAGAUACGGCAAUUCGGAGAGGCCUCAAUGCGGUCGUAGAGUAAAAAUAGUAGCUCGUAAGUUAAGGACGGAAGUUUCUCCUAAUGAUAAGUUGAUACUUUGGGCCUGCAUGCUAAUGAAUCCUGAAGACUCUGCAUAUCUCAAGAAGGCAGGCAUAUUUCGAGGGUGA
rnacentral:lncRNA from 2 species